AACAAAGAGCACAAAGAUGUUUGUGUAAAAGAGAGAGAAAGUUUAGAACACUGAGUAUUCGUGUGUGUGUGUGCCAAGUGAUAUGCAAUGUGUUGGUGUCUUGCAAAGAGAAUGGGGGAGGGUACUUAUAGUACUGAAUACGAGUAAACAAACAAGGUAUCAGUCCCUUAAUUAAGGGACUGGCAUCAAUCACAAUCAAAUAAGUAUAUGGACUUCCCUUUGAUUAAGGGAUCCCAAAUCAAAUAGUAAUAAUCAGUCAUUUAAAAGGAAAGAAAUCACAAAGUAAGGUAUAAUUACAUAAGGACACAGAGUAGCAUAAAACAUGCAAUAAAGACUAGAUACAUGGCCAUCUAAUUAGGGAAAUAGUACAAGCAAAUCAAUCAACAAAUUUGUGUACAUAUAUAGGGCAGAAUACCACCGUAAUUCUGAAAAAAUAGUUUUUCAAAAUAAUGAACGAGAUUGAAAACAUAGGAAUGUAUUAACCGAAGAAAGUAUCCCACAAAUUAAGGAAGAAAUUCAAACUAUAGGGAGAACACGUAGAAUCACAAUUUUAAAGCAAGUAUCACAAUCUCAAAGAGGGCUCGAAGAAUCAAUAUAAAAUCACCAUGUAAGCAAUAAGAGAAACUUUUAAGUGAAAAACGUAGAAUGGUCGGGGAAUGAAACACUAACAACAAAAUUAGAGCAAAGAGCAUAGAACUCGGAGAAGAGCCCAGAAGAACACAAACCAAGCAAAUAGUGCAAACACAAACAUACAAAGUUAUGGUUUCAGCAGACUUAAGCAAAAUGUUUAGAAAAUAGUACUGAGAAUCACAAAUUAAUACUCAAAAUCAGAAAAUAAAGUGAUUUCGAAACGGGGGUCAGAAACCCUAAUUUCAAAAAGGGAACAAAAUCGUUUAAAACUGGAGUAAUCACAAAGAUCGAGUAAUAAUAGUGCAAAACAUAAAGGUACGAGUUAAAAUCGUUAAAAAAUAGAGAUUUGGGAGGUUUGGAUUAAGAUUAGGGUUUCA
rnacentral:lncRNA from 1 species